rnacentral:rRNA from 1 species
GACGGACGCUGGCGGCGUGCUUAACACAUGCAAGUCGAACGGAAAGGCCCUGCUUUUGUGGGGUGCUCGAGUGGCGAACGGGUGAGUAACACGUGAGUAACCUGCCCUUGACUUUGGGAUAACUUCAGGAAACUGGGGCUAAUACCGGAUAGGAGCUCCUGCUGCAUGGUGGGGGUUGGAAAGUUUCGGCGGUUGGGGAUGGACUCGCGGCUUAUCAGCUUGUUGGUGGGGUAGUGGCUUACCAAGGCUUUGACGGGUAGCCGGCCUGAGAGGGUGACCGGCCACAUGGGGACUGAGAUACGGCCCAGACUCCUACGGGAGGCAGCAGUGGGGAAUAUUGCACAAUGGGCGGAAGCCUGAUGCAGCAACGCCGCGUGCGGGAUGACGGCCUUCGGGUUGUAAACCGCUUUCGCCUGUGACGAAGCGUGAGUGACGGUAAUGGGUAAAGAAGCACCGGCUAACUACGUG